ensembl:lncRNA
AUGGAAACAGAGGAUUCACCAUUAUCCUUACAUGGUGGAGAGAGAGUACAGACAAGCCCUGACAAGGAUGGGAUGGCCAAUCCGCCGUCACCUGGAACAGUAUCAUCACCUUCUCCUGACAAUCCUCCCUUGUGCUCAUGGACUCAAAGUCCAUCAGUAAAACAAGAAGAGCAAGAAUCUUCCACUGACCAAAAUCAAAAGGAGGUAGUCAACGAGCAGGAGCUGAAAGAGGAGGUGAACGAAAAGACAGACCAAUGCUACGAGAAGAAGGUGCCCACCCUCACUAUAUCAUUACGUCCAGUAGUGGUGCUGGAGAACCUUAAUUCCGAUCUGCAAGAAGCCUUAUUAUCAAAGGGCAAGUCAUCAUCAACACCCGCUGAGCCAGGAAGCAGCUCAGAGGAGCAAGGUGUGGAGGGAAGUGCAUCAGUACAAGAGCGGAACCACGGCGGCAAGAGGAAGAGGGCUCCAGUGGAGAUAGAAAAUCAGGACUCAGAAACCGACCAUAUUGAGUGGGAGAGGAACAUCAAGAUCACAGUGAGAAAUGAGGAGAAGAGCACUUGUUAA